AUUGAACGCUGGCGGCAGGCCUAACACAUGCAAGUCGAGCGGAGCGGCGGACGGGUGAGUAAUGCCUAGGAAUCUGCCCGGUAGUGGGGGAUAACGACCGGAAACGGGAGCUAAUACCGCAUACUAUCAGAUGAGCCUAGAUCGGAUUAGCUAGUUGGGGGGGUAAAGGCUUACCAAGGCGACGAGCCGUAACUGGUUUGAGAGGAGGAUCAGCCACACUGGAACUGAGACACGGCCCAGACUCCUACGGGAGGCAGCAGUGGGGAAUAUUGGACAAUGGGCGAAAGCCUGAUCCAGCCAUGCCGCGUGUGUGAAGAAGGUCUUCGGGUUGUAAAGCACUUUCAGCGGGGAAGCGUUACCCGCAGAAGAAGCACCGGCUAACUCCGUGCCAGCAGCCGCGGUAAUAC
rnacentral:rRNA from 1 species